AAGGCCCAACGGGAGGGAAGGCGCAAAUACACACCGUUCUUUCUGGUGACGUGUUUCAGGAAGGCUCUUUUCUCCCGCCUUCGUCAGACGAAAACCUCCAUUUUCCUGCAACUGAUUGGCUUACGUUUUGUCAUACAGCUUUCUGGUUGGUUAGGACUCGUGACGAGGGUAAGCGUCAACCAAUGGGAGGUAAAGUAUGCGCAGGAGUCAGGGUGACAGGAAAAAACGAUUCUAGUCGGGUAAGGAAGAUGCAGUUGUGUAACGGAGAGAAUAAAACAUAUAUUUUAUUGUUUUAUUUGUUACAAAGGCCUGUUUACGGCUGAGCAGGUCUGAGACAAGCCCAGUCUACGACUAAGCUAUUUUUCUGGCUCAAACAGUAGAGUUUGGUUUCUAUUCAUGGACAAAGAAAAGUGUACCGACAUUCCUGGUUCCUGCUCCUGGAUGGAGAUGCAUCAGUUCAUCGGGGACCUCAUCACAUCUGGGAAUGCCUCCAAAGAUCAGCCAGAUGUGCUAAAUGCAACAUGGGGCAUGGCUGGUGGUGGCAUCACAAUGGGUUUUAAAGCUGCUUUGCCUGAACCUCUACAACCAACACAGGGUCUGCUACCAGUCCAGGAAAAGUCCCAGCAGGCAGGGCCGAGCCAACACACUCAGCCUCGGGCUCCACAGAAGAAGGGAGAGACCAGAGACAGAAGAGAAGAAGUUCAUCAUGCCUGUGUCUGCCCCGGCUGCCCAAACUCUUCCCCUUCCUUUGCGACACUAAAACCAAGACAGUCGUUGCCUGUUCAGCUGAGGUCAGAUACAAUGUGUAAGCCCAAAGAUCUGUCCACCACCGCUCUACUGAGCCUCAGCAUGUGUCUACCAGACACCACUGACCAGAGAGGCACCAGCAGCACUUCAGAGUUAGAGACCAGGACGCCCGGACGUCUGCAGGAGGACGUGUCAGAUGGACAAACUCAGAGCCCAGCGUCAGAAUCAGAGACCCAACCCCCUAGAGUCCCUACAGGCUCUUUGUCCAGUCUCUCCAUGUUUCCCUGCUGGUGUUGUCACCAUGGUCUGCAGAUACGAAACACACAAGACAACUCAAAUCCACGAUUUCCACACAUGCAUGCGCACCAUCAUUUCCAUCACCACCAUUGCCCCAUAGCCUCCUGUUUCCCCUGCCCACAGCUGGCCCAUACACGCUCUUCACAACUCUCUGGACCGUUCCCCUGCUUUCCUUGUUCUUGUUCUCACGUCUUCCACCAUCAACACAGACAGGGUCAACAGCAGGAGGAGAGGGGCAGCAUGGCCUCCACCCUGUUGCAUCCUUGUAUGCACUGCUCAGCUUCCUUCUCCAGGCCGUCCCAGUUGCUGCAGCACCAGCGCUCUGAGCAUUCCCAAAAACAGUCUGGCUUCAUCUGCACAGAGUGUGGCAGGACCUUCAACUCCCACAGCAACCUGCGCAUACACCUUAAUGUACACACCGGAGCCCGGCCUUACACCUGCUCCGACUGCGGCAAAAGUUUCAGCCAGUCGGGGGCUCUGAAGAUUCACAGGCGCAUUCACACCGGGGAGAGACCGUACUCCUGUGGAUUUUGUGGCAGAGGGUUCCCCCAUCUAGCCGGGCUGCGAGCCCACCAGAGGACCCACACUGGGGAGAAGCCCUAUCGCUGCAGCCAGUGUGGGAAGUGUUUCACCCAGUCAGGGGCGUUGAAGAUCCACACCCGCAUUCACACAGGAGAGAGGCCCUUCAUCUGCAGCAUCUGUGGGAAAGGUUUCUCAAACCGAUCCGGAAUCCGUUUUCACUACCGCACGGUUCACGGACUGGCCCAUGAACGUGGUGGAGAAGAUGCUGCUGGAGGGGCACAGCGUGGAGCGGCGAGCCGAAGUUAUCCUCCUAGUUAUCCUGGGAAUUUCCCUUUGGCCAGCCAUAAUAUGACAGGCAGCUCAAACAGUGACUCGAAUCCACCUGCAAAUCUCAGAGUGUUAGCUGAGCCGACUGCAGCCCAGUCUGACCCGAGGAAACAGAACAGCAACAGGGAGGGCGGUCAGUAUUUGUGUGAAGACUGUGGCUUACGUUUUAAAGAUGCUCCAUCCAGGAACAGACACCAGACUCUGGUGCACUACUCUUCUGAGGUGAGGGGGGAUGAGGGGGGAGAGGAGGAGGAGAUACAGACAGAGACUUAAAUGCUGCUUAAUGUACAGGACCUGAUACUGCAUCAGCGCUAAACACUGCCACAAAAUGCUCCAUGACAAUGUGUCAUUGUAAACUAAAGCCCUACACCAACUGUGUCCAACCACACCUUCAUCUUGGAAGGUGGAAUCUUGGAAUCUUCUCUCCCUUUUGAGUGCCAUCAGUUUAAGCUGAGUUUCUGUUAACGUCAUUGAGUGUUUAAUAAAGGUCAAAGUGGACUAGGGUGUAUCUGUAUUAAAACUGGAAUUUUAAUCUAAAUAAAAAAGUAAUGGUGCUAUGGAAAAAAAAAUAAAACAAGCAAAGCAGAGAAAUUUGGCAAAUAUUCUUUAUAACACAGUAUCUGUGUUAUACUGUUUACUGUCUGACUGUGAGCCAGAUAAACUUAAAUAUUUAAUUAUUACUUUGGGCAAACGUCCCCAGGUUACAAAUAUCCGUCUAAUUCGUGAGGGCGUGGCCUAAAGUGUUAAGUAGGGGUCACAAAGAAGACAGUACCAUUCAGAGAGUUAGCUGUUGAUGUGUGGUCAAGACGCUUGAAAAUAACAGGAACUCAGUCUCUGGUCCAUUCCAGUGAUCCGGUGAUAUUGGCUAAGGAGCUUCAUGGCUGGUCAACACCUCCUCUAAUUAUAGGGAUGAGGGAAGACAGAGUAGGUUUCACAUCGGCACCUACUCUUCACCCCAGAACAAGAGGCUCCGGCGUGGGAGGCCCGGACUCCAGUCAAGAGGCCGCAGUGAGCCUCCGAACUAGAACUAUUUUAAUUAGACAGGCUUUGGACACUGACUGUUCCAGGUACAACGAAGUGUGCACAAAAAAGAAAAAAAAUUCUCACCAUUGAGAGGAGGACGAGGUAGAGCAUCGUGAACGUUCCGUUCCAGAGGAUAGGAAAUGAGCUCGGAUUGGGAGCAGGGAAGAUUUUUCACCUGAAAACUAGGAGAAUCUACAGAGACCCCCCGAUGAUGAUGAAUGUUA